UCUCCCCUCAGACUCUUUAUAAGUCUCAGUCUGUCUUCUUCUUUCACUUAAACAGGUUCGUCUCACAGUGUCACCAUAAACAAGAUUAAAGUCACAAACUGACAACAUGCUGUGGAUUCUCUGUACUGUCAUCUCUGCUCUAACAUAUGCUGAUGCAGCUAAAGUUUUGACCCAGACUCCUGCUGUUCACUCAGUUUCUACAGGACAACAGGUUGUUCUCAGCUGCAACGUUCAGAUAGAUCAUGGCAAUUAUGUCAGUUGGUACAAACAGGUGCCUGGUGGGACUCCUCAGUACAUUCUGAGGCUUCAUCCUUCUCACAGUUCCCCUGAUAAUUUCGGAGCAGGUUUCUCUUCUGACAGAUUUAACUCUAAAGCCACAUCAAGAAUUGACUUCCAGUUUAUUAUAAAGCAGGCAGAAACAGGAGACUCAGCAGUGUAUUACUGUAGCACAUGGGAUGACUCUGCUAGUGAAGCUGUACCACAGUGA